GUGAAACAACUUGUAUUUUUAUAUGAAAUGUUUGACUUGAAAAAAACCCCACACUUUGAGUUUGAUUUAUAUGUCACUAUUUAUCAACAUUUGUUUUCAAUGAAAGUUCUUGCCGCAGUGAAGAUUAAGUAUACGCGGCGUGCGUCAGACGGUUCCUUGAACUUCACACAGUUACCUAAAAUAGACGAACGUGGCAAGGCGUCUGAGACAGUUUGGUGGCUUUGAGCUUAAAGCGAUGCUUAGUUAUUAUAGAAUGUUAUAUGACAGCAUAACCAGUAUCAUCUAGAUGGCUAUAAUUCUGUGGGCCAGAGAUAUUAUCAUUCAAAUGGCCAACACCAAAAAUCACCAAGUGACCAAUCCGGACACCCAGCAUUUGCGUCAACGAAGUAGUGCCCACCAUGGGACAUGAUUCUAAGCUUGAGAAGAUGGGCAGUUUUUGGAGAAGCACAAUGGCGGAGGCAAUACCAUUACCAUCAGCUUUAUGCAAAACACAUUUCAUAACACUUUCAGAUAAGAAACUCGUCUCGGAUAUGAAAGAAAAGCCCUAUUAACACUUCAUGCCAGCUAAAACGAGUUCAAGUUCUUGAAACUAAACUACAAUUUUUGAAUUCUAAUUUAUGCGCACACAUUUUGGCCAAAUCGAAUCAGUGAAUUUUUGCAAAUAAAACCAGCUACCAAACGAACAUUGAUUAGAAUCAACAAAAAUA